CAAUGCCUCGACUAAAGGAAAGAGUGUUAGAACCUCAUAGUAUAUCCCUCGAAGACGAUCUCAACGAAGCAGCAAAGCAAGUUGAGGAGGAGAUGAAAAGCAAGACAGAGGGUCUGCUAGAUCCCGAACUGCUCCAACAGUAUGCCAUUGUAGACAAGGAAGCUGAUUUCGAGAAAGCUUUGCAGAACGGGGGGAAGAUGUCCUCAAGUGGCGUUAUUAGCGUGAAAUCCAGCAGAAGCAAGAUGGAGAAACAUUGGGGAAAGCAGAAAGGAGCAGAUACGAGCCUGAAAAAGCGAAGUAAAGACGAAAAUGGCUCGAGAUCAAAUAAAAAAAGAAGACAUUAGCCAUGGUCGAUAAUAUUAUGACCAAGAGUGAAUGCAUGGUGUGGAGAUGAGAGGUAACUAAAUUAUACUAAAGCAUUGUUUCUCUGCAACUAUAUAUAUAUAUUUUUUUGAUCACAACAUACUUCUAUGUGAAAUUUUGAUAAAUGUAAGUGGACUAAGUCCUUAUAGUUUGUGUGGGAAAUUUCUUUUAGGUUUUAGAGACGGUGAAGGUAAAGGGUUAACGAUAACGCUAAUAAGAACGCGCUAAAUAGGAA